rnacentral:rRNA from 1 species
UACGUAGGGGGCAAGGCGUUGUCCGGAUUCAUUGGGCGUAAAGAGCGUGUAGGCGGCCAGGUAGGUCGGUUGUGAAAACUGGAGGCUCAACCUUCAGAGGUCGACCGAAACCAUCUGGCUAGAGUCCGGGAGAGGAGAGUGGAAUUCCUGGUGUAGCGGUGAAAUGCGCAGAUAUCAGGAAGAACACCCGUGGCGAAAGCGGCUCUCUGGAACGGUACUGACGCUGAGACGCGAAAGCGUGGGGAGCGAACAGG